rnacentral:rRNA from 1 species
UACGUAGGGGCCGAGCGUUGUCCGGAGUUAUUGGGCGUAAAGCGCGCGCAGGCGGCUUCGCGCGCCCGCCGUGAAAGCCCCCGGCUUAACCGGGGAGAGUCGGUGGGGACGGCGGAGCUUGAGGGCGGGAGAGGUCGGUGGAAUUCCCGGUGUAGUGGUGAAAUGCGUAGAGAUCGGGAGGAACACCUGUGGCGAAGGCGGCCGACUGGGCCGACCCUGACGCUGAGGCGCGAAGGCGUGGGGAGCGAACAGG